AUUACCGCCUGGCAAGAUGUCUUUCUGUGCCCGAAAGCAGUUCAAUUCAAUGUAGCCCUCCGAAUAAACUUUCCCGGGGGCUGUAUGCAAAUGCCACUCGAAAAGUUUAGUGUUUUCGUCAGUAGUGGUAGCUGCGAUCUUGUUUCGAAAAAAAAAAACAAAAAAACAUAACAUGAGUACCGUAGCAGUUGAG